CAAUAGCGUAUAUUAAAGUUGUUGCAGUUAGAACGCUCGUAGUCGGAUUUCGGGGCAGUCCGACCGGUCUGCCGAUGGGUAUGCACUGGCCGGAGUGUCCUUUUUGCCGGAGACCGUGCCUACUCUUAACUGAGCGGGGGCGGGAGACGGCACUUUUACUUUGAAAAAAUCAGAGUGUUUCAAGCAGGCAGCUCGCUCUUGCGUGGAUUAGCAUGGGAUAAUGAAAUAGGACUUUGGUGCUAUUUUGUUGGUUUCGAACACCGAAGUAAUGAUGAGAAGGGACAGUCAGGGGCACUCGUAUUCCGCAGAGAGAGGUGAAAUUCUCAGACCCGCGGAAGACGAACCACUGCGAAAGCAUUUGCCAGGGAUGUUUUCACUGA
rnacentral:rRNA from 1 species